rnacentral:rRNA from 1 species
GACGAACGCUGGCGGCGUGCUUAACACAUGCAAGUCGAACGGAAAGGCCCUGCUUUUGUGGGGUGCUCGAGUGGCGAAUGGGUGAGUAACACGUGAGUAACCUGCCCUUGACUUUGGGAUAACUUCAGGAAACUGGGGCUAAUACCGGAUAGGAGCUCCUGCUGCAUGGUGGGGGUUGGAAAAUUUCGGCGGUUGGGGAUGGACUCGCGGCUUAUCAGCUUGUUGGUGGGGUAGUGGCUUACCAAGGCUUUGACGGGUAGCCGGCCUGAGAGGGUGACCGGCCACAUUGGGACUGAGAUACGGCCCAGACUCCUACGGGAGGCAGCAGUGGGGAAUAUUGCACAAUGGGCGGAAGCCUGAUGCAGCAACGCCGCGUGCGGGAUGACGGCCUUCGGGUUGUAAACCGCUUUCGCCUGUGACGAAGCGUGAGUGACGGUAAUGGGUAAAGAAGCACCGGCUAACUACGUG